rnacentral:ribozyme from 1 species
CGGAAGUGUGUGUGAGACGGACUGUCCCACUGUGGUGGCCAAGCUGUUUUCCUGUUAUAACAAUGAGAACAAGGAAGAAAUAAUGCGAGGCUUUCGAUGUACCAUGACCGAAAUCCUGUUUUCCCAUC